AAUCAUUGAUUUUUUUUUAAGUGUCGCCCCUCAAACAUUUGACCUAAACACACUCAAAUCUCAGAUCUAUUAGUCUUUUCCACUUCCUCACUUCUCCUCUUUGUUUCUUCAUCUCUUUUCUCCCCUUCUUCACCAUAUUUUCUCUGCCACAUAUACACAUUCAACCGACACCACCAAUUUCUUUAUCUUCGUCGACCCUCCCUAUCACCAACCAUUCAGCCACUGAAUCUCAACAUCAGUUCUCAUGCCUUUCACUCAAGCCUCCCACCUCUGAAUCCUCUCCCUGUGAUAACCCUCUAUCAACGCCGUCCAUAGAUGGAGCUCUUAGAUCUGAGUUCCUUCGCUAGAUCUGACCCUCUCUCCCAUUCAUAUUCCCAAAUCUAUUCUUCUUGAACCUUCAAGGAAAAUCUGAAGAGAUUUUAAAGGUGGGUGGUAUUGGUUCCAGAGUUGAUGAAACAGCGGCAGAAUCUUUGGCCCAGAUGAAGCGUCUCUUGUUCUUAAGAGACUAAUAGCAAGAUCUACUAAGACUGCUAAAGAUUAUGCUUGGAGGUGUGAAUUUUAAUGAGAUCUGAUGAAAAAUGAAGGAUUUAUAUAUAGAGAAAAAUCCGGUUGAUACCUAUUUUCAGGAAGGAUCUUAUUUAACAGUGACAACAUAACUUUGAUGAACAUAGAACAUGAAAACACAACCGUGUCUAUGUUAACAAGGGAACAUGAGGUUUGUCUCAUCAAGAUAUGCUCUGGCGAAGUUAUUUCUGACCACAAAUGCGAAAUUGUUGAUGAAGUAAGAAGACAUGUGUUUAGUGAAGAUGGAGAAUUUAAAGCAAGAAGACAUGUGUUGAGUGAAGUCCAAGAAUUUGAAGUGAUUACAAGUCAAGGUGAAAAUGGAAUCUUGUAAACUUUGUAAAAAAUUGUUACUUGCGUUUAUUUGAACUUAUGUUUGUAUUUUUGUGACAAUUAAUGAAUUAUUUUGAUAUUAAUAUACCGUCUUUAAAUUCUGAA